rnacentral:lncRNA from 1 species
CCUUAACAUUUUUUUUUCUCUUUAUUGUCCUUCAGGCUUUCUUCUACUCUGCUUCUAUUACCUCAAAAAGGAUGCUGCUAGCCCCCUUUUCUUUCCAAUGACCCAUAAAACCUUAUCCUGGUGAUACCUUCCUGGCAUCACCCAUUCACCAGCAUUAUCUUCCCCUGUUGGCAAACGAAGUUCUCACUUACCUUUUUAUGGUCUGAAGUCGAGCUGCUGCCCUCUCCCCAGGCAUCCAGCCCUACUUCUCUGGAAUGUUUUCAUGCUAACAGCAGUUUUAAGUCCCAUUGCUGGCCAGAAGAGAUUGCAGACUGGUCUGAAGAAUGGGGGCUCAACAUCAUCUAUAAAGGAUUAGGACCCAAUUUCUGCUCAAAGACUUUUGAAGCCAGAACAGAAAGGGAGCAUGCUUAUGUUCAAUUAGGUUCUUAGCAGCAGUGGUUAUUUCUUAAUUUUUCAACUCAAUGUCUCAUAUUGUUCUUUUCUACCUUCUUGUCAUUGUGCUAGAUUCAAUAAACACUAUUGAUG